CAAGUUCCUCCUCUUCAAUUGCAGGUUUUUCAUCUUUCUCUCCAACAACUAGUUCUUCAGGUUUCUCUUCAAGUGCCAGUUCUUCAGGUGUUUCCUCCUUUGCCAGCUCUUCAGGUGUUUCCUCCUUUGCCAGCUCUUCAGGUGUUUCUUUAGCUGCCGGUUCUUCAGGUUUCUCUUCAACCUCCGGUUCUUGUGGUAUUUCCUCUACUUGUACUUCAGAUUUCUCCUCAAUUGUUGGUUCUUCAGGUUUCUCUCUAACCGCUGCUGCAUUAGGUUUCUCUUCAUUGGCUGGUUCUUCAGGUUUUUCUUCAACUACCGAUUCUUCAGGAUUUUCCUCAAUGUUUGGAAAGGGAGCGACAUCAUUAUUGGUAUUGCAUGGAAUUUCACUGCCAGUUUUGUCAUUCAAGUCCACAACUAGUAUAUUCUGCAAAAGAGUUUAAUGUUUCACUUAGUCUUUCAAUAAAGAAGCAGAUGCGAAUCAUUACAUAUACAUAACUAAUAACAUGGAUAAACUUUAUGACAGUAGUUGACCCUUACCUUUUCCACAAGAGUUACUUUUGCAGGUUUCUCCUCUUCAAGUGCUGGUUUCUCUUCAAAUGAUAGUUCAUUAGGUGUUUCUUCCCGUGUUGGUUCUUCAUGUGCUUCUUCAGUUACUGGUUUUUCAGGUUUCUCCUCAAUUGUUGGUUCUUCGCUUGUCUUCUCAACUGAUGGUUCCUCAUGCUUCUCUCCCGUUGUUGAUUUUUCGGGUUUCUCUUCAGUUGUCGAUGGUUCAGUUUUUUUCUCAACCGCUGGUUCUUUUGGCUUCUCCAAAACCAUUUCCGAUUUCUCUUCAGUUGGUGGUUCUUCAUGGUUUUUUUCAACUACUGGUUCUUCUCUUUUUUCCUCAACUGAUGCAUAGUCAGCAAUAUCGUUGUUGGUAUUGCUUGGAAUUGCAUUGUCUGUCUUGUCCUUUGAGCUUACAAUUGGCAUAUUCUGCUAGAAAAAUAUAAAGUUUCAUGUAGUCUUUCAACAGAGAAACCAAUGUAAAUUUGUUGCACAUAUAAAGCUAACAAAUAUGAUGGAUAGACUUUGCGAGAGUGUUUAAUACUCACCUUCUCCGGAAGAGCUUCCGUUUCAGGUUCCUCUUCAAUUUCUGCUUUUUCAUCUUUCUCUUCAACAACUAGUUCUUCAGGUGUCUCUUCAACCGUUGAUUCUUCAGGUUUCUCUUCAAGUGUUAGUUCUUGAGGUGUUUCCUCCUUUGCUAGCUCUUCAGGUGUUUCUGUAACUGCCGGUUCUUCAGGUUCCUCUUCAGCCACCGGCUGUUGACGUAUCUCCUCUACUUGUACUUCAGAUUUCUCCUCAAUUGUUGGUUCUUCAGGUUUCUCCUUAACCGCUGGUACAUCAGGUUUAUCCUCAUUGACUGGUUCUUCAACUGCUGAUUCUUCUAGAUUUUCCUCAAUGUCUGGAAAGCGAGCAACAUCAUUAUUGGUAUUGCAUGGAAUUUCAUUUCCAGUUUCGUUAUUCGAGUCUACAAUUAGCAUAUUCUGCAAAAAGAAUUUAAUGUUUCAUUUAGCCUUUCAAUAAAGAAGCAUAUGCGAAUAACAGUACAUGCAUAACUAACAAAAUGGAUAAACUUUGUGAUAGUGCUUGAUCCUUACCUUUGCCAAAAGAGUUACCUUUUCAGGUUUCUCCUCUUCAACGGUUGGUUCUUCAUGUUUCUUUUCAAAUGCUAGUUCCUUGGUUGUUUCUUCCGGUGUUGGUUCCAUAGGUGUUUCUUCAGUUACUUGUUUUUCGGGUUUCUCUUCAAUUAUUGGUUCUUCGAUUGUCUUCUCAACUGAUGGUUCUUCAAGAUUUUCUCCCACUGUUGGUUUUUGGGGUUUCUCUUCUAUUGUUGGUUGUUCAGGAAUUUUCUCAACUGGUGGUUCUGCUGGAUAUUCCAAAACCAUUGAUUCUUCAGAUUUCUCUUCAAUUGAUGGUUCUUCAUGGGUUUUUUCAACUACUGGUUCUUCAAUUUUUUCCUCAACAGAUGCAUAGUCAACAAUAUCAUUAUUGGUAUUGCUUGGAAUUGCAUCGUCUGUCAUGUCCUUUGAGUUUACUUUUGGCAUAUUCUGCAAUAGAGUUUCAUGUAAUCUUUCAACAGAUAAACAGAUGUAAAUUUGUUGCACAUAUAAAGCUAAUAUGGUGGAUAAACUUUGUGACAGUGUUUAAUCCUCACCUUCUCCUGAAGAUCUUCCGCUUCAAGUUCCUCCUCUACAAUUGCAGUUUUUUCCUCUUCCCCUUCAACAACUAGUUCUUCAGGUGCCUCUUCAGCCGUUGAUUCUUCAGGUUUCUCUUCAAGUGCUAGUUCUUCAGGUGUUUCCUCCUUUGCCAGCUCUUCAGGUGUUUCUUUAGAUGCCGAUUCUUCAGGUUUCUCUUCAGCCAUCGGUUCUUGAGGUAUUUCCUCUACUUGUACUUCAUAUUUCUCCUCAAUUGUUUGUUCUUCAGGUUUCUCUUCAGGUUUCUCCUUAACCACUGGUACAUCAGGUUUCUCUUGAUUAACUGGUUCUUUGGGUUUUUCUUCAACAGCCGAAUCUUCAGGAUUUUCCUCAAUGUCUUGAAAGCAAGCAAUAUCUUUAGUGGUAUUGCAUGGAAUUUCACUGCCAGUUUUGUUGUUCGAGUCUACAAUUAGCAUAUUCUGCAAAAGGAAUUUGAUGUUUCAUUUAGCCUUUUAAUAAAGAAGCAGAUGUGAAUAACAUUACAUGCAUAACUUACAAAAUGGAUAAAUUUUGUGACAGUCCUUGACCCUUACCUUUUCAGGUUUCUCCUCUUCAACAGCUGAUUCUUCAUGUUUCUCUUCAAAUGCUAGUUCUCUGGGUGUUUCUUCCCGUAGUGCUUCUUCAUGUGCUUCUUCAGUUACUGGUUUUUCAGGUUUCUCCUCAAUUGUUGGUUCUUUGAUUGUCUCCUCAACAGAUGGUUCUUCAAGCUUCUCUCCCGUUGUUGAUUUUUCUGGUUUCUCUUCAAUUGCUGGUUGUUCAGGAAUUUUCUCAACAGCUGGUUCUUCUGGCUUCUCUAAAACCAUUGAUUCUUCAGCUUUCUCUUCAAUUGAUGGUUCUUCAUGGUUUUUUUCAACUAUUGGUUCUUCAGUUUUUUCCUCAACGGAUGCAUAGUCAACAAUAUCAUUGUUGGUAUUGCUUGGAAUUGCAUCGUCUGUCAUGUCCUUUGAGUUUACUUUUGGCAUAUUCUACAAUAAAGUUUCAUGUAGUCUUUCAAUAGAUAAACAGAUGUAAAUUUGUUGCAACAUAUAAAGCUAAUAUGGUGGAUAAACUUUGUGACAGUGUUUAAUCCUCACCUUCUCCCGAAGAUCUUCCGCUUUAAGUUCCUCCUCUUCAAUUGCUGUUUUUUCAUCUUUCGUUUCAACAACUAGUUCUUCAGGUGCCUCUUCAGCCGUUGAUUCUUCAGGUUUUUCUUCAAGUGCCAGCUCUUCAGGUGUUUCCUCCUUUGCCAUCUCUUCAGGUGUUUCCUCCUUUGCCAGCUCUUCAGGUGUUUCUUUAGCUGCUGGUUCUUCAGGUUUCUCUUCAGCCGCCAGUUCUUGAGGUAUCUCCUUUUCUACUUCAGAUUUCUCCUCAACUGUUGGUUCUUCAGGUUUCUCUUCAUUAACUGGUUCUUUGGGUUUUUCUUCAACAGCCGAAUCUUCAGGAUUUUCCUCAAUGUCUGGAAAGUGAGCAACAUCUUUAUUGGUAUUGCAUGCAAUUUCACUGUCAGUUUUGUCGUUCAAGUCUACAAUUAGCAUAUUCUGCAAAAAGAAUUUGAUGUUUCAUUUAGCCUAUUAAUAAAGAAGCAGAUGUGAAUAACAUUACAUGCAUAACUUACAAAAUGGAUAAACUUUGUGAUGGUCCUUGACCCUUACCUUUCCAGGCUUCUCCUCUUCAACGGCCAGUUCUUGUUUCUCUUCAAAUGCUAGUUCCCUGGGUGUUUCUUCCUGUAUUGGUUCUUCAUGUGCUUCUUCAGGUACUGGUUUUUCAGGUUUCUCCUCAAUUGUUGGUUCUUCGAUUGUCUCCUCAACAGAUGGUUCUUCAAGGUUCUCUCCCGUUGUUGAGUCUUCUGGUUUCUCUUCAAUUGCUGGUUGUUCAGAAAUUUUCUCAACAGCUGGUUCUUCUGGCUUCUCCAAAACCAUUGAUUCUUCAGCUUUCUCUUCAAUUAAAGGUUCUUCAUGGUUUUUUUCAACUACUGUUUCUUCAGUUUUUUCCUCAACGGAUGCAUAGUCAACAACAUCAUUGUUGGUAUUGCUUGGAAUUGCAUCGUCUGUCAUGUCCUUUGAGCUUACUUUUGGCAUAUUCUGCAAUAAAGUUUCAUGUAGUCUUUCAAUAGAUAAACAGAUGUAAAUUUGUUGCACAUAUAAAGCCAAUAUGGUGGAUACACUUUGUGACAGUGUUUAAUCCUCACCUUCUCCUGAAGAUCUUCCGCUUCAAGUUCUUCCUCUUCAAUUGCUGUUUUUUCAUCUCUCUCUUCAACAACUUGUUCUUCAGGUGCCUCUUCAGCCGUUGAUUCUUCAGGUUUCUCUUCAAGCACUAGUUCUUCAGGUGUUUCCUCCUUUGCCAGCUCUUCAGGUGUUUCUUUAGCUGCCAGUUCUUCAGGUUUCUCUUCAGCUGCCGAUUCUUGAGGUAUUUCCUUUACCUGUACUUUAGAUUUCUCCUCAAAUGUUGGUUCUUCAGGUUUCUCCUUAACCGCAGGUACAUCAGGUUUCUCUUCAGCUGCUGGUUUUUGAGGUUUCUCCUCUACUUGUACCUCGGAUUUCUCCUCAACCAUCGGUUCUUCAGGUUUCUCCUCAACCUCUG
rnacentral:lncRNA from 1 species